rnacentral:lncRNA from 1 species
UAUAAGAAAUUUAUACUAACCAGUUUGUGGAAUGCGCGACUAAUGCGGUGUAUAACAUUCCUUUGACGUGUGGUCAUGCGUACGUGGGGCAGACUGGACGUUGCUGCAACACUAGACUAAGGGAGCAUUUGUCCAGCCUCAAAGGUCGCCCUAGUACGCAUAUGGCCAUGCACUGUAAAGAAUGUGGCUGCAUACCUCAGCCGGGAGGCACUGGCAUUCUGUUCAAACACCGGAACAAGACUGCGAGGGAAAUAG